GCGUAAAGGGCUCGCAGGCGGUUUCUUAAGUCUGAUGUGAAAGCCCCCGGCUCAACCGGGGAGGGUCAUUGGAAACUGGGGAACUUGAGUGCAGAAGAGGAGAGUGGAAUUCCACGUGUAGCGGUGAAAUGCGUAGAGAUGUGGAGGAACACCAGUGGCGAAGGCGACUCUCUGGUCUGUAACUGACGCUGAGGAGCGAAAGCGUGGGGAGCGAACAGGAUUAGAUACCCUGGUAGUCCACGCCGUAAACGAUGAGUGCUAAGUGUUAGGGGGUUUCCGCCCCUUAGUGCUGCAGCUAACGCAUUAAGCACUCCGCCUGGGGAGUACGGUCGCAAGACUGAAACUCAAAGGAAUUGACGGGGGCCCGCACAAGCGGUGGAGCAUGUGGUUUAAUUCGAAGCAACGCGAAGAACCUUACCAGGUCUUGACAUCCUCUGACACUCCUAGAGAUAGGACGUCCCCUUCGGGGGCAGAGUGACAGGUGGUGCAUGGUUGUCGUCAGCUCGUGUCGUGAGAUGUUGGGUUAAGUCCCGCAACGAGCGCAACCCUUGAUCUUAGUUGCCAGCAUUCAGUUGGGCACUCUAAGGUGACUGCCGGUGACAAACCGGAGGAAGGUGGGGAUGACGUCAAAUCAUCAUGCCCCUUAUGACCUGGGCUACACACGUGCUACAAUGG
rnacentral:rRNA from 1 species